rnacentral:rRNA from 1 species
UGGGGAAUAUUGGACAAUGGGCGAAAGCCUGAUCCAGCAAUGCCGCGUGAGUGAUGAAGGCCUUAGGGUUGUAAAGCUCUUUUACCAGGGAUGAUAAUGACAGUACCUGGAGAAUAAGCUCCGGCUAACUCCGUGCCAGCAGCCGCGGUAAUACGGAGGGAGCUAGCGUUGUUCGGAAUUACUGGGCGUAAAGCGUACGUAGGCGGUGACUCAAGUCAGAGGUGAAAGCCUGGAGCUCAACUCCAGAACUGCCUUUGAAACUAGGUCGCUAGAAUCACGGAGAGGUGAGUGGAAUUCCGAGUGUAGAUGUGAAAUUCGUAGAUAUUCGGAAGAACACCAGUGGCGAAGGCGGCUCACUGGACGUGUAUUGACGCUGAGGUACGAAAGCGUGGGGAGCAAACAGGAUUAGAUACCCCAGUAGUCCCUGAGCGGGCUGGCAAGGCGCAU